UCGGCCGGAACCGCCAUCUUCCAGUAAUUUGCCAAAAUGACGAACACAAAGGGAAAGAGGAGAGGCACCCGAUAUAUGUUCUCUAGGCCUUUUAGAAAACAUGGAGUUGUUCCUUUGGCCACGUAUAUGCGAAUCUAUAAGAAAGGUGAUAUCGUAGACAUCAAGGGAAUGGGUACCGUUCAAAAAGGAAUGCCCCACAAGUGUUACCAUGGCAAAACUGGGAGAGUCUACAACGUUACCCAGCAUGCUGUUGGCAUUGUUGUAAACAAACAAGGGCAAGAUUCUUGCCAAGAGAAUUAAUGUACGUAUUGAGCACAUUAAGCAUUCUAAGAGCAGAGAUAGCUUCCUGAAACGCGUGAAGGAAAAUGAUCAGAAAAAGAAAGAAGCCAAAGAGAAAGGUACCUGGGUUCAACUGAAGCGCCAGCCUGCUCCACCCAGAGAAGCACACUUUGUGAGAACCAAUGGGAAGGAGCCUGAGCUGCUGGAACCUAUUCCCUAUGAAUUCAUGGCAUAAUAGGUGUUAAAAAAAAAUAAAAAUAAAAGACCUCUGGGCUGAAAAAAAAAAAAAAAAAAGAAAAGAACUGCCAAUAUAGAAUUCUGUGACUAAGAAAAUAAUCCUUCAGGGAUGAUGGUGAAAAAAGCGAUUUUCAAAUAAAAACUAAUAUAAUUUGUUACCUGCAGACUU